rnacentral:rRNA from 1 species
UACGUAGGGUGCAAGCGUUAAUCGGAAUUACUGGGCGUAAAGCGUGCGCAGGCGGUGAUGUAAGACAGAUGUGAAAUCCCCGGGCUUAACCUGGGAACUGCAUUGGUGACUGCAGGGCUAGAGUGUGUCAGAGGGAGGUGGAAUUCCGCGUGUAGCAGUGAAAUGCGUAGAGAUGCGGAGGAACACCGAUGGCGAAGGCAGCCUCCUGGGAUAACACUGACGCUCAGGCACGAAAGCGUGGGGAGCAAACAGG